UCCCUGAUGGUCCAGUGACUAAGACUCCGCACUCCCACUGCAGGGGGCCUGGGUUCAAUCCCUGGUUGGGGAA
rnacentral:tRNA from 1 species